rnacentral:lncRNA from 1 species
AGAGGCGUCCGAAUGAGCUCCACGAAAUUCCGUUAAAAACUGUCCAAACGGUCCUGUUUCGUGGCGGUUUAUGGCAACCACAACAGCCGAUCGAGGCUGAGAUGGGCUGGGAUUGGAAGAGGGUGGUGGUUCGAACGGGACUGGUCUUCCUUCAAUUCGUGCCCGGAGUUGAGAGAUAUCACGUUUGGAAGUCAGCUGGUCGAGCUGCCAAACUGCAGAAAAUCUCGGUUUUUAAAAAACUGAACUUCGAAUUAUU